AGCGAACGCUGGCGGCAGGCCUAACACAUGCAAGUCGAACGAAGUCUUCGGACUUAGUGGCGGACGGGUGAGUAACACGUGGGAACGUGCCUUUAGGUUCGGAAUAACUCAGGGAAACUUGUGCCAAUACCGAAUGUGCCCUUCGUGGGACAGAUUUAUCGCCUUUAGAGCGGCCCGCGUCUGAUUAGCUAGUUGGUGAGGUAAAGGCUCACCAAGGCGACGAUCAGUAGCUGGUCUGAGAGGAUGAUCAGCCACAUUGGGACUGAGACACGGCCCAAACUCCUACGGGAGGCAGCAGUGGGGAAUCUUGCGCAAUGGGCGAAAGCCUGACGCAGCCAUGCCGCGUGAAUGAUGAAGGUCUUAGGAUUGUAAAAUUCUUUCACCGGGGACGAUAAUGACGGUACCCGGAGAAGAAGCCCCGGCUAACUUCGUGCCAGCAGCCGCCGUAA
rnacentral:rRNA from 1 species